UUGUCAACUGUUAAUGUAAACUAAUCAAUUCGCAAUACGAUUUGUUAGUUUUAACUGUUAUUAUUAGUCGAAAGUGGGAAAACCGGAUAACUUUCAUCUCGUCUGACGGUGAACAACUUUGAUGAAAUCGAGUUGAAAGGUCGGGAAAUAUAAGAUGAAAUAAUAAACCGCGUAGUAUAUGAUAAAUCCAAAAAAAUAGUUGUAUCCAAAAAAUAUAUAGAAAAAGUAUCGGUUUCCUUAUUCCAGAAUGUUGGUAGAGUAUUGACGGUCACUCAGUGUCAGAAAUCUUUGAUGAAAAAUAUAUUAACACCAAAUCAUGAUUAUAAUUAAAAUAGUUUUUUUUAUUUUUUAUUUUUUGGUCAAGGUUCUAUCAGAUCAAUUCACCUGCAUUUCGUUCAUGUUUCACAAUAUAAUUUUAUUUUGUAGAUAUACCUAUAUUUAAUUUUUAAUAAUUAAAACUAACAAAUCGUAUUGCGAAUUGAUUAGUUUACAUUAACAGUUGACAAUUUACAAAAUUAUGAUCCAAGUUUGUUUUUUCACGUUAACAUACAAUAGCAAGAUCGUAGUGUUAAAUUGAAAAUGGAAAAAUACCUCGUUCUGAUUAAACGAACAUGAUGCUCAUACAUAUAUUUAUUGUUAUAACAGUUAUUUUCGUAGAAGGCACGCAACAAAACGACUUUUACGAUGAAGACAAUUCCAUUGACGAUUCCUACAAACCGAUAUAUGUGGACUUUGUACUGGGAUCCGACGAGAAGUCGUCUGAUGAUAGAAGCGACGUCUUCAUGAGACGUCAACUACGUCAGAGACAUAAACUGAGUUAUAAGAAGAGAGUCCCGGUCUACAUAAUAUCCGAAUACUCAGUCCAUAACAUAAUGGACGAUGAUUCUGAUAAAGACGAUAUGAAGAAAUCAAAAAAGAAGAAAUUCCAUAAAAAAAUGUCCAACCCCGUCAGAAAGAGACGGCUCAAGAGUCAUUGCAAAAUAUCCUGUUACAUAAUAUGUAUAUGUUUUUAAAAAAAAAAAUCUCCAAAAAAAAUUUAUCUGAAGAUAAUAAAAUAAUAACAACAUUGCAAAUUCUCCAAGAGCAUGAAAUAAUUCACAAGUAACUGUAAUAAAU